rnacentral:pre_miRNA from 1 species
AAUGGAAUUGCUGGGUUAUAUGGUAACUCUAUAUUUAACUUUCUGAGGAACUGCCAAACUGUUUUCCACAGCGGCUGUACCAUUUUACAAUCCCACCAGCAAU